rnacentral:rRNA from 1 species
GACGAACGCUGGCGGCGUGCUUAACACAUGCAAGUCGAACGGAAAGGCCCUGCUUUUGUGGGGUGCUCGAGUGGCGAACGGGUGAGUAACACGUGAGUAGCCUGCCCUUGACUUUGGGAUAACUUCAGGAAACUGGGGCUAAUACCGGAUAGGAGCUCCUGCUGCAUGGUGGGGGUUGGAAAGUUUCGGCGGUUGGGGAUGGACUCGCGGCUUAUCAGCUUGUUGGUGUGGUAGUGGCUUACCAAGGCUUUGACGGGUAGCCGGCCUGAGAGGGUGACCGGCCACAUUGGGACUGAGAUACGGCCCAGACUCCUACGGGAGGCAGCAGUGGGGAAUAUUGCACAAUGGGCGGAAGCCUGAUGCAGCAACGCCGCGUGCGGGAUGACGGCCUGCGGGUUGUAAACCGCUUUCGCCUGUGACGAAGCGUGAGUGACGGUAAUGGGUAAAGAAGCACCGGCUAACUACGUG